rnacentral:rRNA from 1 species
AUUGAACGCUGGCGGCAGGCCUAACACAUGCAAGUCGAGCGGAGCGGCAGACGGGUGAGUAAGGCCUAUGAAUCUGCCUGGUAGUGGGGGAUAACGACCGGAAACGGGCGCUACUACAGCAUCCUAUCAGAUGAGCCUAGGUCGGAUUAGCUAGUUGGUGGGGUAAAGGCCUACCAGUGCGACGAUCCGUAACUGGUCUGAGAGGAUGAUCAUUCACACUGGAACUGAGACACGGUCCAGACUCCUACGGGAGGCAGCAGGGGGGAAUAUUGGACAAUGGGCGAAAGCCUGAUCCAGCCAUGCCGCGUGAAUGAAGAAGGCCUUCGGGUUGUAAAGUUCUUUCGGUAGCGAGGCGUUAACUACAGAAGAAGCACCGGCUAACUCCGUGCCAGCAGCCGCGGUAAUAC